AACAUCGCGCACCUGCGGGAACCUCGGAGGGAUCAUUACAGAGUUGCAAAACUCCCUAAACCAUUGUGAACGUUACCUAAACCGUUGCUUCGGCGGGCGGCCCGGGUCCUUCCCGGCGCCCCUCGGCCCUCGCGGGCGCCCGCCGGAGGUAAACCAAACUAUUGCAUUGUAUGGCCUCUCUGAGUCUUCUGUACUGAAUAAGUCAAAACUUUCAACAAUGGAUCUCAGAUCGGAAGAGCA
rnacentral:misc_RNA from 1 species